rnacentral:rRNA from 1 species
GAUGAACGCUGGCGGCGUGCCUAAUACAUGCAAGUCGAGCGAAUGGAUUAAGAGCUUGCUCUUAUGAAGUUAGCGGCGGACGGGUGAGUAACACGUGGGUAACCUGCCCAUAAGACUGGGAUAACUCCGGGAAACCGGGGCUAAUACCGGAUAACAUUUUGAACCGCAUGGUUCGAAAUUGAAAGGCGGCUUCGGCUGUCACUUAUGGAUGGACCCGCGUCGCAUUAGCUAGUUGGUGAGGUAACGGCUCACCAAGGCAACGAUGCGUAGCCGACCCGAGAGGGUGAUCGGCCACACUGGGACUGGGACACGGCCCAGACUCCUACGGGAGGCAGCAGUAGGGAAUCUUCCGCAAUGGACGAAAGUCUGACGGAGCAACGCCGCGUGAGUGAUGAAGGCUUUCGAGUCGUAAAACUCUGUUGUUAGGGAAGAACAAGUGCUAGUUGAAUAAGCUGGCACCUUGACGGUACCUAACCAGAAAGCCACGGCUAACUACGUGCCAGCCGCCGCAGUAA